AACGAACGCUGGCGGCAUGCCUAACACAUGCAAGUCGAACGAAGCCUUCGGGCUUGUUGGCCAACGGGUGCGUAACGCGUGGGAAUCUGCCCCUUGCUUCGGAAUACCGGUUAGAAAUGACUGCUAAUACCGGAUGAAGUCUUCGGACCAAAGAUUUAUCGGCAAGGGAUGAGCCCGCGUAGGAUUAGGUAGUUGGUGGGGUAAAGGCCUACCAAGCCGACGAUCCUUAGCUGGUCUGAGAGGAUGAUCAGCCACACUGGGACUGAGACACGGCCCAGACUCCUACGGGAGGCAGCAGUGGGGAAUAUUGGACAAUGGACGCAAGUCUGAUCCAGCAAUGCCGCGUGAGUGAUGAAGGCCUUAGGGUUGUAAAGCUCUUUUACCAGGGAUGAUAAUGACAGUACCUGGAGAAUAAGCUCCGGCUAACUCCGUG
rnacentral:rRNA from 1 species